GAUGAACGCUGGCGGCGUGCCUAAUACAUGCAAGUCGAGCGAACAGACGAGGAGCUUGCUCCUCUGACGUUAGCGGCGGACGGGUGAGUAACACGUGGAUAACCUACCUAUAAGACUGGGAUAACUUCGGGAAACCGGAGCUAAUACCGGAUAACAUGUUGAACCGCAUGGUUCAACAGUGAAAGACGGUCUUGCUGUCACUUAUAGAUGGAUCCGCGCCGCAUUAGCUAGUUGGUAAGGUAACGGCUUACCAAGGCAACGAUGCGUAGCCGACCUGAGAGGGUGAUCGGCCACACUGGAACUGAGACACGGUCCAGACUCCUACGGGAGGCGGCAGUAGGGAAUCUUCCGCAAAGGGCGAAAGCCUGACGGAGCAACGCCGCGUGAGUGAAGAAGGUCUUCGGAUCGUAAAACUCUGUUAUUAGGGAAGAACAAAUGUGUAAGUAACUAUGCACGUCUUGACGGUACCUAAUCAGAAAGCCACGGCUAACUACGUG
rnacentral:rRNA from 1 species